CAGCAGCCGCGGUAAUACGUAGGGGGCGAGCGUUGUUCGGAUUUACUGGGCGUAAAGAGCGCGUAGGCGGUUUGAUAAGUCGGAGGUGAAAGCCCUCGGCUCAACCGAGGAUCCGCGUCCGAUACUGUCGAACUUGAGUGCAGGAGAGGAGAGCGGAAUUCCCAGUGUAGCGGUGAAAUGCGUAGAUAUUGGGAGGAACACCGGUGGCGAAGGCGGCUCUCUGGACUGCUACUGACGCUGAGGCGCGAAAGCUAGGGGAGCAAACGGGAUUAGAUACCCCGGUAGUCCUAGCCGUAAACGAUGGGCACUAGGUGUGGGAGGUAUCGACCCCUUCCGUGCCGCAGCUAACGCAUUAAGUACUCCGCCUGGGAAGUACGGCCGCAAGGCUAAAACUCAAAGGAAUUGACGG
rnacentral:rRNA from 1 species